CCUACGGGUGGCAGCAGUAGGGAAUCUUUCACAAUGGACGAAAGCCUGAUGGAGCAACGCCGCGUGCAUGAUGAAGGCCUUCGGGUUGUAAACUGCUGUUAUAAGCGAGAAAUAUGAUGGUAACUUAUGAAUAAGUAUCGGCUAACUACGUACCAGCAGCCGCCGUCAUACGUAGGAUCCGAGCAUUAUCCGGAGUGACUGGGUGUAAAGAGUUGCGUAGGUGGCAUAAUAAGUAGCUAGUGAAAUCUGGUGGCUCAACCAUUCAGACUAUUAGCUAAACUGUUAAGCUCGAGACCGUUAGGGGUAACUGGAAUUUCUAGUGUAGGAGUGGAAUGCGUAGAUAUUAGAAGGAACACCAGUAGCGUAGGCAGGUUGCUGGGACGGUUCUGACACUAAGGCACGAAAGCGUAGGGAGCGAACGGGAUUAGAUACCCGUGUAGUC
rnacentral:rRNA from 1 species